AAAAAUGGAAGAAAUUAUCAACGAUUCUAAGGAUGGAAAGACGCAAAGUUAAACGAUCCACGCUCUAGGGGUAAGCAGGAUCAAGAAACUGAUGCUGGGGACAAAAAGAGAGAAAUAGAAGGAGAAUUGAGAGAAAGGCGGAUGAACUCGUAGCGUGGAAGAUCGUAGAGGCUUUCAACGGUUGAAAGGAAAGGCUAAACUCUCGGAAGAAGGAUGAAGAAUAGCAUAAAGAGCAGGGUGAAAAAGCCAGCGCAUAGAUCGGUCAUGCGGAACGUGCGAAAUAGUAUUCGGGCCAUGAGGUAACAGGGAACGUAUACGGUUUUCAAUUUCCCACGAGAGGUCAAGCAAAUUCAUAACCCAAUCUAUUCGCAAACCGAGAGGAACAGCGGGACGCCGAUGAAUUCGAUGAUGCAACGCGAUCUCCACCCUGUGUUUAUUAUUUUUAAUCGAUACUUUUUCACUCUGAUUGCGAUUACUAACGAUCCAGCCAAAUACACCAUCCAGGAAAGCAGAGAAAAGAAGAUAUACUGAAUUAUAUUUUAUCAACAGAAUCAUCUACUGCGAGGGUUGUUUGAAAACAAAGAAGAAGAAUAUCUGCGAAUUAUAACUGGAAUUUCAAGAUGAGGGUUUUGAUCUAAGACCGAGCAUUGAAGGUGGGAAGAAGAAUGCUAAAGAGAUAUAUUCAAUAUUUUAAGAAGAAUCUGUUAAUCUUGGAUUUAAUCUUGUAUCGGAAAAAGAAUACACGAAUUAUAUUAUAAUAUUUUAAGAUGAAAGUGUUGAUCUAAGCCGAAAGAUGCGAAGAGAAAGAUUCUCAAAAUAAAAGAAGAAUCCUUCAAACCAAACAAUUUUAAGGAGAAGACUCUGAUCCAGAACUAACCUAAUAUUAGAAAGGACAAUCACACGAUAUAUGACAAUACUUUAUCAAUACUCUGACAUAGUCCAAUCCAUAUCAGAAGAAAGGUACAUAAAUUAUGUUACAUUAUUUCAAAAAAGAAAUUCUCCAAAAAUCCUUUGACUCAAACCCAACUCUGCUUACAAUGUGAUUUAGAGAGUCCAGAGUUUGCAUUAUUCUUAUAACGUUAUUGUAUCUCAAAAAGAAUCCAGUGAGUGCUAGCUGGUUCCAGUAAUAAUCUCAUCACUCGUCCCUUGUCGCCACUUUACAUAAUUGGAUGAACGAUCUCUGUGCUACCGUAAGAAGAUAAACUCUCUGCCACGCUUAACGUUAUUCACGAUGCAGUGUUACGAAUAAACAAGAAGAAUUCGAAACGGGUAGACGUGCUUCUUCGUCAAAAAAGGUUCGACAGAGAAUGUAUCGAAGAGUAGUACAGAGAUGUCUAACGCCAAAGAGGCGUGCAAUGUUAGCAGGGUAAGUUAACUUUCUAAUAAUUAGGUGAAACUGUCAGAUAGAACGAUUUAAACAAAGGAUAUGCAAAGCUACGUAAAAUGUAAAUGAAGAUGUAACCGGAAAUCAUCCGCAGCUGAAAGGCACUGGAUCAGGAAUAAAUAAUAAUAGUACAGAGAACUACAUCCGAACGCUGACGUAUUUCCGGAUUUCACAUAAACGUCUUACGAAUUUACUUUCUUGUAUGAAUUUAUUAUGUUACCCUACAGUCCUGAUGCUGUUCUUGGACAAUAUAAGCAAUAUUUAUCAACGACUAAUAUCGAUAAAGCUAUGCUGUCUUAAUGCUGUUCUUGGAAGAUGUGGGAAAUAUUGAUUAAGAAACAUAUUGAUAAAGUUAUUACAAAUAUUGGUAAACGAAGACGUACGCCGCUUUGCUCUCCUGUUUAUCAAUCUCAAGUGGUUAAUUCCCACCCAAAGAUAUAGAAACACCGGACUUCACAAAUAAAUAAAUACAAAUAUUAAAUAGAUUGAAAAACAAACAGAUGGCAGGCAAGAUCGUCUGAAACCUCUGUUCUAUCAUCUAAUAAACAACAUAAUAAAUAACAUCAACGUUGUAAGACAACACAGUAAAUCUAUAAAAGAAACUCAAAUGAAAGGAGCGUCUUCGUUGAAGAAGCUGUGACAGACGAUGCAUCGAAGAAUGGUAUAGACAACUAUACUGGACUAGAAGGUAAAAGGAGAUACGGUCCCGUAUCGGAAACGCACGAGAACAUCGUUAUCGGGUUCGCGAAUCUGGCGAGCUGUGAACCUGGCAGAAAUCCAGAACCCGCGUCGCUGCACCGGUGCGGUGAAAGAAAGCCCGCGACACGGGCGAUAAUCAUCGUAAACGUUGUCGAAAUUGUCCUCUUUUGUCGACGAAACCUCGAACGAAUCGUGAAGCAAACCUCGACGCUUCUCUGACGUCAAGAAACUACCAGUGGUUUUCAACGUUCGAAUACGUAACGUGUCAUACGAGGAAUAAUUUUCGAAGAACGAGUAGUUCGUUAAUUAACGAAUCGUUGAGCCAAUUUACACGCAUGUACGAAUUUUCUAGCGAGAGAACGAUGAUUCGUGCGGGUAGACGCGUAUUAGAGGUUGUGAGGUUGAUCACGUUGAUUCCGUACGCAGGCUGUGCACCCUGGCGAGUACGCAUUGUCCCGUAGCACGUCCUGCUCGUAGAUCGAUCCAGUCUUUGGUACGCGAACGACGAGGCUUCGUGGAGAGCAAUGUGUUUAACACGUUGAAUGGCACGCGAAUUUUAUAUGUUUUGUCCUGAGGGCCACGACAGUUUGAAAUAUGCUACACCGUAACGUUCAAUUCUUGUAAAAUAUUAUAUCGUAUUUGCGCACACUUUGCCGAGUGUUGCUAAGUCAUUCACAUUGUUGGAGAUCUUUUUGUCCAUGAAAUUUAUCAUGUUGUAGACGUUGUAUAAGUGAGCAUCGGUGACCAUCGCGACCAUGGGAUUUUGCUAUUAAGGUGAACAAAUUGACGAUAACAUGCAGUUGAAAUUUGGUGUAAGCUGAUCUUUGGAGAAUUUCGAAUUUUAUAGAUCGCAUGCUUGAAACUGAAAACGACGAACCACAGUGAAACUGGACUAAAGAUUCUAUGCUUGAAAUUGUGUAACAGCAAGCCUUUCUUCUCUGGGGAUUUUUGAGAUGAAUUCGAAGAUCCGGAAUGAAAGAGGAAUUCGUGAAAUCGACGAGAAUUUCGAGCCUCCUUGACCCUCGGUGACCCAAAUAUUUUCGCUCCUGACAGAGGCUGAUGCAGAAUUGCGGCAGACCCGUGGAAACGUUCGGUCGUUCCCUUUUGUCCGCAUCACCUUCAAAAGGAUCAUUCUAUCUCGCGAUAGAAUGACAAAUCGUCGCCGACGUGUCUUUAAUUCGUCAAAAGUUUCUUACAUCCGAUAGAACACAGAGGAUAUUCUCUCUUCUAUCCUUGAUGAAAUCGUUCUCAAACGAAUAGUAUGAUUAAAGGAGCGAAGAAUUCGAAUCAAUGGAAGAGCCAAACGAUGGAAAGAAAGAGAGGCAAACUCUAUUUAAUUAUACUAGAUUAUAUCAUAUAGAGCAUAAAAGACCACUAUGCAGAGGAGUCACGAUUUCUGAUUUCUGACAGGCAGCUGCAUCCUGACCUAUCCAACGAACGCUUUCCAACAGUGUCUCUGGAGGUUAGCCCACCGAUUGAUCCACGCGCUCCACUUCUCUACUCCUCUACUCAACGCAACUCCGUCGCAUCCACGAUUCAGAAGGGACCCUACGAUCGUGAUAGAAACCGCCACGACUCUACCACCGUCACCGCGUCUCUCCUGACCUUGCUCCGCAACCUUUCAUACCGCUGUUUCAUCCCUCGGUAUAACUCGAUCCACACGCCUCCGUUCAUCAAUCAGUCGAACGUACCGGAGCGGUCCACUCGCAGGAAUUCCUCUUACCAAACAACCGACGUAAAUACGACUCUAGCUUUUCCACCUACCAAUCGAACAAUUCCAACGAGAUACCUUCGAGCCCUUCCACGACUAUCAUUGCGCGGAACCAACGGCCAAUACCAAAAGAAAGGUAUUCGUAUAUUGGAAAAACGAGGAAGAAAGGAAAGGAAGAGAACUGUAAGGAGUAAACGAGUAGCGAGAAGAGGGCCUAAAGGGAGGGAAAAAGAGAAAGGGAGAGUUUGGUGGCGCACCACGCGACCGCAACGAUCAUUCCAAGAGCAGACAUUGUGGACAUCGUGUAAACGGCUAAAAAUGGACGAAUCGAAUCUGGUGUGUCGAUCGUACCGAUGUGAAUACGUAUUCCAAGCAGCUUGAUCUUCUCGGAAGGCGUUAUCUUCGUUGGUUAAGCAGGGUGGUUCCGUCCAUCGCGUUUCUGGAUCGUAUCGCCCUAAGGAUCGAUCGUAGUCGGGUGCACACGCGCUGACCGGUUGCGGUACGCGUUCGGGAAACGCGUCCCGGACACGUUUCGCCUAUAGUUCGACUAGACAGAGGAUGAUCGCUGUUAAUCGGCUAUAUACAACUUCCAUCCACGAUUCCUCCUAUGUUUCUUCUUUUUCGUAACUCUUCCACCGAUUUCGAUUAUAUUCUUGUUCUGUUUCUUUUUUUUUUUUUUUUUUUUUUUUUUUCACACGGUUCUCGUUCUGAGAAAAUACAAAUUCCGAUCUCCACGCACCGCUGCUGUCCCGUCGUCCUUGUCUGAUCGCGCGUACGUGUGUGGCGAGGCGCGCGCGCGCGCGCUGAUCAGCGUUACUCGCACACAGGGAUUCCGAAACCCAGCCGUGCGACAGGCUGACCGAUUGGCGACUGAGACUCACCCUCUGUGGAGGCGCUGACUACCCUUAACUCACCCCCACUCAUCGACAGCGCGCCACCAAUAGCGGCCCCCCACCACUCAACCUUUCCCCCACCAUCAUAUAUCCUUCUAAUCCCCGUGGUGUUCGCGCUCGCGCGUGAUUUCGUCUCGCGAUUCCUUCGGGUUUCCCUCUCUUUCCUGCGAAAGAGAGCUUGCUCUUUUUUUUUUCCUCGCCUUUUUUUCAUUCGGAUACAUAUCGUUAUAAUUAAUCGUUGGCUUAAAGGGAACCGGUUCGAAGGUGUUUAACUCGAUAACGUGGUUAGUAAGCUUCCACCCAGUGAAUGACGAUUUUUGGCUUGAAAUUUCAGUUGACUUUAAAUUUAUGCAUCACUGUAUGCGUUCAGUAAAACGUACGUGUUGUAUUGGUUUAGGAAUACGUACAGCCCCGUUUAUAAGUAUUAGAAUAUCUAUCGGUUUCAUUGGAAAUAUGGAAAUUAAUCUAAAGUAUCAAGGAGACGAUUGAUCGAGCAGAAUUUUAUAUUCAUGCAAAGUUGCGAUGCAGUAUACGUGGAAAGCGGAAAUUUGUUAUAAAUAUUUGAAUGAAUUAUAUAGUAGCAUAUUUGUGUAAUUAUUUGUUCAUCCAUGCAGUUUUGUAAUCUGAAUUCUAUCGAGCAAAAUUUAAGGUAAAUUGGAUAGGACGCUUCAAGAAUCCUACCGCAAAUUUCAAUCUGUAUUUUAUAGAAUACAUUGUGCCAAAUGACAAGAAACGCGGUAAUAAUACUUAUGAUCGGGAAUGUACGUAUACAGGGCUCGUUUGGUCAACUGUGGUCGUUUUCUUAGAGAAAAAAUAGCUUUUGCGUUAUUGAAGAACGUACUCGGGCAAUAAAUAUCUUUAUAAAUUAUUAAUUGGGCAAGGAAAAAUGUUCAAUCUCAAAAUCGAAUAAAAGGAUAAUUUUAGUGACAUGAGAUUAAUUGACAAUAUACCGAAUUUUAGAACUGUUCUCUGCUUAUGGUCGAUACACGUAUAUCUAUGUUGAUAUGUGAUAUAAGAAAUUAUCAUACCAAAGCGAUUAGGAGGUAAAAAUACGUGACAAAGAAAAAGUUCUUUAGUUAACCCGUAUCACGUUCCGUGCCACGUGGAUCACCAGUGACCCACAUUUCCUUGAGUCGCGAGGAAACUUACUUCCGUGAAACAAACAAUAGUAAAAUCGGGACGAAACCCUACAAACGAAUACGUACCGCGAGACCACGAUUACUUUUGUUUGAAUUUUAAAUUUCCGCAAUUGAAACGCGUCGAAACAUCUGCUAUUCCAUCGCGGAGUGGAAGAAGAUCUUGAGCUGGAGUUUUCGACGUUUCUAGCUGAAUGCGAACGGAUUUAUCGAGCUUAUUGAAUUAAUGGAAACGCGGCGCACGUAUAAGACCGUAAUUAAAGCGAAAAAGAAAAAGAAGGAUAGAAAAAGUUGGAAGAAUAUUUUUCGUGUGCUUAUUACUAGAGUUGUGGUAAUGAAUUAUAAGACUUUAAAACGUCAAGAGUACACGGUUACAGUGAUGAAAUUGUAAAAUAGAAAAAAAAUACUGAGCUUUUUAUCUCGAUCUUGUACAUUCCGAUAGUAACUUUCGUUAUUUUAAAUUCAGCUCAAAAAACAUUACUUAUAGGAUGACUCUACAGUAUAUCUACAGUAUCUAAAAUAAUUCACUCGCUGUAAUAACUAAUAGAUGGAACAAAUCUAUAUUUAGCUUCCAUUCCUUUACUCGCGUUCAUAAAAGUAUGAAUUCUGAUGUACGAUUCUUUCUUACGGCUACAAAUCUUUACGACCUGCUAUUUCACCAUGAGGGGCCGUAUGUACGUAUGUGUAUAAAGAGCUGGGAAGAUGAUUAGCGGUACAUGUGCACUGGACAAGAGUAGUACUGUUCUCUAUCAAUCACGCGUUGCUAUAUGAUCUAGUUUGUGAAUGUAAGAUCCGUGAAAAAUAUGGACCACGACCAAGAACCGUUCCCGGACCAUUUAGGGUACUCGUACACUGCAGGCCACAACUAUUAUUGGGUCACUUAUCUCCUGCAUUUACUGAAAAACUGCAAUAAAUUUUAUUUUAACGAGUAUUUUACAUUAUGCGAUACAUAUGGUGCGAAUAAAGUAACAGACUCGUGAUAAAAUAAUUAGUAAAUGAAAGCAACGAAAACCAUUCAUAUUUCCUUAAAUAUCAUAGGAUAUCCUAGUAGUUAUUAUCGGCUACGUACGCGACACUUUCGGCCAAUAUACGUACACUUAUUUUUAUGAUUGCGUUGGGUCUAUCGGAAAGAAUUGACCAGGCCUGUCCUUUACCUAAUCACCUUUUCAACUUCUCUAUUAUACACACGAUAAAACGCUGGAGUCCGCUCGCAUACGCGAAACGAGCCAGCGCCAGAGGCAUCUUGUUAUCCGCGAAUUUCCGGCCGAGUUGUUUACCGCUUUAACCAACGACUCUUUAAUUACUUCAACAACCUACUGCCACGAACUUGACCGACUCUAAGAGCUACUCCUGUCGAGCGUGUCAUGUUAAUGAAGUUUGUCACAUUCGUUUGCGGAAUCACCAAGACUUCCCUACCGAUCGAGAAACGGAUAAUCGAUACAGAAGAUACAGAAAGAGAACGUGGCUUGAAAGUUUCAAAGAUACCUAAUCCGACGAAUGGAGACUUGGAAGUGAUGUUUGGAAGAUUCAAUCCUGGCUGGCAAUGUCGCUUGAGUUUCCAGUAGAAUCUGUAAUUAAAAAUUUAAGUGCUAUUAGCGAUCGAGGGAUCGGUUAAUUUAAAAAAUGAUUCGAUGUGGGACAUUAAAUAGAAUAAUAAACGUAAUUGGUACGUUCUUGGGAGAAGAAGGAAAACAUAACGAUAGAAGGAAGACGAAGGAGGAAGAAUAGAGAGGGAAAGAGGGAGAAGAGAGUGUUGGUUCGAUCGAAGUUGUCGAAGGGAGGGCGCCACUUUGCCGGCCACCCCAUUUUCAUUAGCUCCUACGGAUCAUACACUUAUCAGAUUAUCUUUACAAUAGCCUUCAUAACAUUUGACAUAGCAUGCCUCCACAAAAUCCAAGAAAGGUGACAAAUUUUUUAAAGGAAAAAGAAAUUUUAUAAGAAAUUUUAAUAACAAGAAAGGUGUCAUAUUUUUGAAGAUAAUAAGUACCAAAUAAGGAAACAAAUACGAAUACAAGGACUAAAGAAACAUCCAGUAAUAAAGGAUGAUGUAGUAAUGUAGGAUGAUGCAAAAGAGUUACGGCAACAGAAAAGUAGUAAAAAAUUAUUUUAAAAAGAAUUGGAAUGAAAGGAUUGUAAAACCACUUAAAGAAACAAGAAUCCUGAGGUAAAAAAUCCCUACAAGAACACCAGAAAUCAGUUGUUGAAAUGGCAAAUACUAUGAUGAGAAGGAAAUAAAAUGUUUUUAAACAAAACACUACGGACUAAAAUACUAAAAAUAUACUAUAAAGAUAAUACCGACGAGAUGAACGCUAUGUCGAUAAAAAAAAAGAAAAAAGAUCUAGCAAUAAAAAAGUCCUAUAAAAACACCAGAAGCCAGAAAUAGAAACAAUAAGCCCCAUGAACUUUCACGAACUACUGUAUAUUUGCAUUAGAUACUUAUUUUGUAGCUUCUAUGAUAUUUCCAUAUUUGUUUCAAAUUUUAUCGAUAUAAUCAUAACAUGACAUGAUGCUCAUACCAUACUUUAUUACAGUGCUAAUGAAAUUUUUAAAUGUUUCGUAUGACAAAUGCGGUGGGGGAAAAAGUAAGUGAACUAAUAAGAUAGUGGAAAUAGAUAUAUCACUGAAAUUUCACUAAAUAUGGCUUGUUUACACAAAAUUAUAAAUCUUAAUUUCUAUUACUUACUAAACAAUUUUGUGUACAUUAAGAACAUGCAAUAAACAGAAUUUAAGUAUAUAACACUAA